rfam:Papio anubis isolate 1X1155 chromosome 11, whole genome shotgun sequence.
ACAGGCACUUGGCACCUUUAUGAUACCAUACAGGGAAGUCACAGGGCAGUCCCUGAGGGUCUGU